GACGAACGCUGGCGGCGUGCCUAAUACAUGCAAGUCGAACGCUUCUUUCCUCCCGAGUGCUUGCACUCAAUUGGAAAGAGGAGUGGCGGACGGGUGAGUAACACGUGGGUAACCUACCCAUCAGAGGGGGAUAACACUUGGAAACAGGUGCUAAUACCGCAUAACAGUUUAUGCCGCAUGGCAUAAGAGUGAAAGGCGCUUUCGGGUGUCGCUGAUGGAUGGACCCGCGGUGCAUUAGCUAGUUGGUGAGGUAACGGCUCACCAAGGCCACGAUGCAUAGCCGCCCUGAGAGGGUGAUCGGCCACACUGGGACUGAGACACGGCCCAGACUCCUACGGGAGGCAGCAGUAGGGAAUCUUCGGCAAUGGACGAAAGUCUGACCGAGCAACGCCGCGUGAGUGAAGAAGGUUUUCGGAUCGUAAAACUCUGUUGUUAGGGAAGAACAAGGCCGUUAGUAACUGAACGUCCCCUGACGGUAUCUAACCAGAAAGCCACGGCUAACUACGUG
rnacentral:rRNA from 1 species